AACGAACGCUGGCGGCAUGCCUAACACAUGCAAGUCGAACGAAACCUUCGGGUCUAGUGGCGCACGGGUUCGUAACGCGUGGGAACCUUCCCUUAGGUUCGGAAUAACUCCCCGAAAGGGGUGCUAAUACCGGAUAAUGUCUUCGGACCAAAGAUUUAUCGCCUUUGGAUGUGCCCGCGUUGGAUUAGCUAGUUGGUAGGGUAAUAGCCUACCAAGGCGACGAUCCAUAGCUGGUCUGAGAGGAUGAUCAGCCACACUGGGACUGAGACACGGCCCAGACUCCUACGGGAUGCAGCAGUGGGGAAUAUUGGACAAUGGGCGAAAGCAUGAUCCAGCAAUGCCGCGUGAGUGAUGAAGGCCUUAGGGUUGUAAAGCUCUUUUAACCGGGAUGAUAAUGACAGUACCGGGAGAAUAAGCUCCGGCUAACUCCGUG
rnacentral:rRNA from 1 species